UACGUAGGUGGCAAGCGUUGUCCGGAUUUACUGGGCGUAAAGGGCGUGCAGGCGGUUUGCUAAGUCUAGGGUGAAAGCUCCCGGCUUAACUGGGAGAGGUCCUUGGAUACUGGCAGACUUGAGGAGGGUAGAGGAGAGUGGAAUUCCCGGUGUAGUGGUGAUAUGCGUAGAUAUCGGGAGGAACACCAGUGGCGAAGGCGGCUCUCUGGACUGUAACUGACGCUGAGGCUCGAAAGCCAGGGGAGCUAACGGG
rnacentral:rRNA from 1 species